UGGGGAAUAUUGCACAAUGGAGGGAACUCUGAUGCAGCGACGCCGCGUGAGGGAUGAAGGAAUUCGUUUCGUAAAACUCUGUUCUAUGGGAAGAAAAGGACUGUACCAUAGGAGAAAGCUCCGGCUAAAUACGUGCCAGCAGCCGCGGUAAUACGUAUGGAGCGAGCGUUGUCCGGAAUUAUUGGGCGUAAAGGGUGCGCAGGCGGCUUUACAAGUUGGAUGUGAAAUAUUGUGGCUCAACCACAAACGUGCAUCCAAAACUGCAAAGCUUGAGUUAAGGAGAGGUAAGUGGAAUUCCUGGUGUAGCGGUGGAAUGCGUAGAUAUCAGGAGGAAUACCGGUGGCGAAGGCGACUUACUGGACUUAAACUGACGCUCAGGCACGAAAGCGUGGGGAGCAAACAGG
rnacentral:rRNA from 1 species